UGAGGAAUAUUGGUCAAUGGGCGAGAGCCUGAACCAGCCAAGUCGCGUGAAGGAAGAAGGCGUUAUGCGUUGUAAACUUCUUUUGUAUAGGAAUAAAGUGCUCUACGUGUAGAGUUUUGUAUGUACUGUACGAAUAAGGAUCGGCUAACUCCGUGCCAGCAGCCGCGGUAAUACGGAGGAUUCGAGCGUUAUCCGGAUUUAUUGGGUUUAAAGGGUGCGUAGGCGGUUAGAUAAGUCAGCGGUGAAAGUUUGUGGCUCAACCAUAAAAUUGCCGUUGAAACUGUUUAACUUGAGUGCAAAUGAGGUAGGCGGAAUGUGUUGUGUAGCGGUGAAAUGCUUAGAUAUAACACAGAACACCAAUUGCGAAGGCAGCUUACUGGGAUGCAACUGACGCUGAGGCACGAAAGCGUGGGGAUCAAACA
rnacentral:rRNA from 1 species